rnacentral:rRNA from 1 species
UACGAAGGGGGCUAGCGUUGCUCGGAAUUACUGGGCGUAAAGGGCGCGUAGGCGGCGCAGAUAGUCAGGCGUGAAAUUCCUGGGCUUAACCUGGGGACUGCGCUUGAUACGUCUGUGCUAGAGGACGGAAGAGGGUCGUGGAAUUCCCAGUGUAGAGGUGAAAUUCGUAGAUAUUGGGAAGAACACCGGUGGCGAAGGCGGCGACCUGGUCCGUUACUGACGCUGAGGCGCGACAGCGUGGGGAGCAAAC